ACUUUCGCUACCUGUUGCGUAGCGAUCGAGGUGCUAGGGAUCGCGGUCUUCCUUCGGGGAUUCUUCCCGGCUCCCGUUCGUUCCUCUGCCAGAGCGGAACACGGAGCGGAGCCCCCAGCGCCCGAACCCUCGGCUGGUACGGACCCCUCCCCGGCGUCUCCGCUCCCCUGACCCCACAUCCCCUAGAAGACCUUUUUUCUGAGCCUCGCUGCUCGGAUUUCUUCUCGGCGCUCCCCGGUGGUCUCUUCCAUUAUGGUCCCCACCUCAGAAAUUUUUUUUAACCGCUCCAGCGUCUCUUUUCUGUAUUCUUACAACUUUGUGGCAACCACCUCUACUGGCCCCACUUCGACCUUCCUUCCUGAUCACCACAAAAUGCCUUGAGAGAUGAUUUUGUGUUUGGGUCAAAGGGUGUGAAAUUUAUGCCCUACACAACUUACCUUGUGGAAAAAGGAGCAUCUCACAGUUUUGUGGCUGAAGCAAAGCCACCUACAGUUACUAUGCCUCGAAUCAAGGUGUCCAGCCUACUGACAGCAGCUUUGAAGUACAUAGUGCAUUUCCCAAGAACCGUGGGUAAAGAAAAAAG
rnacentral:lncRNA from 1 species